UUUGACCCGAAAGAAUAUUAAUGAACCUGGCAAACCACCUGGCAUCGUUUUGAGUGCUGCAACUUCUGUCUGGUUGCCAGUUAUGCGGGAAAGGUUAUUUGAUUUCUUGCGUGAUGAACGAUCAAGAAGUGAAUGGGACAUUUUAUCCCAUGGUGGGAUGAUGCAGGAGAUGGUCCACAUUUCCAAGGGCCACUGUCGCGGGAAUUGUGUUUCUCUCUUGCGGUCAAGUGCUGUUUGUCCUAACGCAAAUGAGAGCAGCAUGAUAAUAUUGCAAGAAACAUGGAAUG
rnacentral:misc_RNA from 1 species